rnacentral:rRNA from 1 species
GACGAACGCUGGCGGCGCGCUUAACACAUGCAAGUCGAGCGAGAACCAGGUCUUCGGACCUGGGGAAAGCGGCGAACGGGUGAGUAACACGUGAGUAAUCCACCCUCGGCACCGGGAUAGCCCGGGGAAACUCGGAUUAAUACCGGAUGGCCCAACAGCUCUUCGGGGCGGUUGGAAAAGGUAGCUUCGGCCUCCGGCCGAGGACGAGCUCGCGGCGGAUUAGCUUGUUGGUGGGGUAAUGGCCUACCAAGGCGACGAUCCGUAGCUGGUCUGAGAGGACGAUCAGCCACACUGGGACUGAGACACGGCCCAGACUCCUGCGGGAGGCAGCAGUGGGGAAUCUUGCGCAAUGGGCGAAAGCCUGGCGCAGCGACGCCGCGUGAGGGAAGAAGGCUUUCGGGUUGUAAACCUCUUUCAGGAGGGACGAAGCUACUCGGGUUAAUAGCCCAGAGGGUGACGGUACCUCCAGAAGAAGCCCCGGCUAACUACGUGCCAGCAGCCGCAGUAAGAC